rnacentral:lncRNA from 1 species
GUGUCUUCGAGCCCCAGUGCCACCAUGUCAGAGCAACCCAUGUAGGAAUGGUGGCAUAUGUCAUGAUCUGUGGUCUGACUAUUUUUGCGAAUGCAAACACCCUUUUACUGGAAGCAAAUGUACCAAAGAAAUUUCAGAGGAUCUUGCAGUGCGAUUUAAUGGGAAUGAAUACAUUGAGUAUGUCAUCAAGGAAAGCUUUAAGAGAGACUAUUUGCUGAAACACUUGCAUGAUGAAAAAGAGGGUAACACCAGGGGCCAAACAGUAAUUAAUAUCAGGUUCAAGACUAAAGAUAAUGGAGUGUUGAUAUUUGUUCUCAGACAGAAAGGAUAUUUCAUGCUUAAGAUAAAGGACAAAAGGCCUGUGUAUGUUUCCAAAGAUACUCUGUUGGGACACAUGCUAGAGUUUACUGUGGACUCUCCAGUAACAGAUGGGGUUUGGCAUGUCCUCUCCUUGUUCAGCAAUGGACAGAUUGCUUUUCUCCAUCUGGAUGGUAAACCCGUCUUGAAUAUCACUGACCAAAAUAUGGAGCUAAAGCCUGUUACUGUUGAAAGGAUUGUUCUUGGUGCAACUCUGACAGGUGACUCAAAGCUCCAGCAAUCAGGGUUCACUGGAUGUGUGCAUUAUUUUAAUGUGACUGGUUACAAUCUGCUUGUCAGCGAACCCAGCAUAAUGGCAGAUAUCUGGCCGAGCCCAACUCUCAUGCAGUCCAGCUGCAGAUCUCCAGAUGUCUGCUUCCCCUCACCCUGCUCUGAAGAAGACACUUCCAAGAGGGGUUGUCUUUAUGCACCAUGUCAAAACCAGUGGAG